GAUGGUUUGUAUAUUUUUGGGCCAG
rnacentral:piRNA from 1 species